rnacentral:lncRNA from 1 species
UUUUAGAGAAUCCAUAGAAUAUGAGAAGACCUUAAAAUGCUGCCGGUUUUAGCCAAAAAAUUCAUAGAUCUUACUCGAACGGCCGGAGGUGGCCGAAAAAUGGUGUGACAGACCAUGGGUAGGAGUUGAACCGCUAUAGGUUUACAUGAGGACCUCAGGGUGAUGUCAAACCAGCAUGGGGUGAAGCAGAGGCCAGUAGAUGAUGAGAGGCCAAGGUUUCCGACGAGGGAGGUAGCCGUAGAAGGUGGAAAGAGUCUAUCGGAGAGACAUGGAAAAGAGAAGGUUCUAGAGAGAACCAGAGAUAGAGAGACC